rnacentral:rRNA from 1 species
GACGAACGCUGGCGGCGUGCCUAAUACAUGCAAGUCGAACGCAGUUGGUACGGGUGAGUAACACGUGGGUAACCUGCCCAUCAGAGGGGAUAACACUUGGAAACAGGUGCUAAACCGAUACUUAUGGAUGGACCCGCGGUGCAUUAGCUAGUUGGGGGGGUAACGGCUCACCAAGGCAACGAUGCAUAGCCGACCUGAGAGGGUGAUCGGCCAAACUGGGACUGAGACACGGCCCAGACUCCUACGGGAGGCAGCAGUAGGGAAUCUUCCGCAAUGGACGCAAGUCUGACCGAGCAACGCCGCGUGAGUGAAGAAGGUUUUCGGAUCGUAAAGCUCUGUUGUUAGAGAAGCGGUAUCUAACCAGAAAGCCACGGCUAACUACGUGCCAGCAGCCGCGGUAAUAC